GUGCUUCAGCCAAAGAAGGAAAUUAAUCGAGAAGGAGGAAGAUGGCACCUAGAUAACAGAUGAUUCCACAAAGGGAAUGGCCAAGGGACAUCUCAGGCGUUUCUAGAGAACGGGGUGCUCUCCUCCGUCUGCCACCCCUGCAGCAGGCCGCAUAGGACCCUUGAAACCUCUACUUCCUUCCCUUGGAUCCUCGCAGGGGGCCCGGUUCCGGGUCUCAUGGGGGGCCCAGUUCUGGGGGUCGUGGUUCCUGGGGGCAGACUCCGUUAGAGCAUGAAGGCUGAUCUGGCUUCCUGCUUUCCCUAGAAGGCAUCUGGUUUCCUGGUAGCUGUGGAGAGACCCACUGUGGGAAGCUGCUAGAAGCCCAGGACUCAGGACCCCUGUGCACAUGAGCUGGCCUCACCCUGGUGGGCGCUUGGACUGCCAACGAGGGACACAGGCUGGUGGAGGGACUAGAGGAGGUCUUAGCGGCCAAUGACAUGCCUGGUUUAUUGGGCUUUGGGAAAGCCAGCUGGGCUCAGAAUCAGCCUGGUGGGUUUGUCUGGAUUGUCCCCAGGGCAAGAGGACUGAGCCGACCCUCAGUGGUCACAGAGCAAAGCUGACCUGUAUCAGGCAAAUCAACCUGUCCCCCUCACCACCUACCGGCCCAGCCACCCUGUUGGUGCUCACAUUUGAGGACUGACAUCUGGGCACAGCCAGAGUUGUUUUACUUCCUGUCUUACAGGUGGCUUCCUUGACACGGAUGGACCUCUUAAAUGGUCACCCAUGCUGUCUGGGCUUCUCUCGAUUGAAUGGGACUAAUUUAGCUCCUACAUCUUGGAGAUUCCGGAUAAAGCCUCCACUGCUCC